rnacentral:tRNA from 1 species
UCUUUAGUGGCUCAGAUGGUAAAGAAUCUGCCUUCAGUGCAGGAGACCCAGGUUCAACCCCUGGGUUGAGAA